UCCACUUAACAGAAAUACAUCAUUAAAAUGUUCAGGCAUAUAGCAUAGCAUAGCAAACAGAGCAAACCAGAAGGUCUAUAAAGUGUUACAAGGUGGAUGCCAGAGCACAACCAUCAAUUCAAAAUAAAAGCUAACAUAUCUUUGCGGACUUUAACCACAAUACGUGUCACUCUUCUUAAUACUCCCAAAGCAAAACUAUCACUAAGUCACCUGAUACCAUCUCUUCUUGUUUGUGCCAUCCCACCACAAUUCAUAAUGGCCUCAGGUGGCAAUUGUGGCAUAUCUGCAGAUAAUACAGAACAAUUCUAGAAACCGAGAACAUAUAUAUAAACCUAUGAGAGAUCACCAAGAAAAUUAAACACCGAAACUUUACAGUGGUAUUGACAGAACAAGGCAUCACAUAUUAUUUACUCCAUUCUCCUAAGAAUAAUACAAAAGGGACUUCAAACUAUGUAACUCCAUGAAUAACCUAUGCUUGAAGCCACAUGAACAUAUUGCCGUCGGUUGCCGGUCUUCCGCAUCUACGCACUGGCAAAAUAAAGAACAACUUGCUCAAAAGUGUUAAACUGAAAUGUAAGCAGAUAUAUAAUGUGGGGAUUCCCCCAGCCCUGGCCUUGCCAAAAUAAAUUAAAAUGUGGGUGCUUAAAUUUUUUGGAAUGUAUGUCAAGGGAAUGUGUACUAUAAAAAGAAGGGGGUAUUUUCUUUUAGUCAUUUGAACAAACAAGCAAGAAGCACCUUCUGUGUCACAUAAUUGCAGCCAUCAGAACAAAAAAUUGUUACUGUGGAUCAAAGAUCCAUGAUAAAAUACGUGCACACAUCCUAUUUGAUGCAUUAACACAAUCCUCCGAAGGGCAUAUACACCAUGCAUGCAUAGAAGAGAAGCUAAACAAGGAGGAAAAUCGAAUGAAAAUCACAACCAAGAAGGAUGGCAAAAUCCAGAUGUACUGAUCAUCCUCAACCCAUCCAAGGCAAGGCCAUAGUCGAAUCCCAUGGUGGUGGAUAUAGCUGGCCAAACGGGCCGGGACAAACAGGCCAGCAAGCGAGCACGCCGGCACGGCCCGCCAUGGGCCAGGCACGACCCGUUUAAUUCUUUUAUAUAAUUUUCAGAAUUUUUUUACAUAUGUAUACCUAAAAUAUAGCCCAAUAGGCCUAAAAACCAGCCCAACAGGCUGAAAAUAUACAACCCAGCGUGCUAAACGGGCCAUCGGGCCGGCCCAUUUACUAAUCAGGCCGUGCCUGGGCCAAGGAGCAGCGCCCGUGGGCCGGCACGGCAUGGCCCGGCUAUUAAACGUGCCACGGCGGGCCGUGCCAGGCCAGGCACGAUUAGCACAGGCCGUGCCGGGCCGUGCCGGGCCGGCCUGUUUGGCCAGGUCUGGUGGUGGAGUAUCCUAGGCGGCGGAGCAGGGAAAGGAAUAACACACCAGCACAAUCGGCGAAGACGAAGACACCACUGACUGCUCGUCCUUCUCUUCGGCGCCACACUCUGAGGCACGACAAGUGUUUUCAUCAUUCCAGUUCCCAUUGAACUGAUGCUUGAUUCUGGUGAAAACCUAUACGAAAGAACACAUAUUUAUGUAUAUUUCAUCAAGUAUAUGCCAGAAAUAUCAACAAGCGAAACCUGUGUGGUUUGACCUAAAGUUCCGUCAUCCCAUCAAUUGUGGUUGUUUAUGGAGUGCUUCUCAUCCUUGCUCUAGAAACAUAUUUGUAUAUGUGAAUUUGCUAGUCUCAAUCAUAUGUGUAAAGAAAAGGGUAAACAUGAACUGGCUAUAUGUGUUUAUUCCAGCAUACCGUCCCAUGACACGCUUUGCAUACAGACCUUUCCUUAUGAGCUGAAGUAAAAUGAGCUAGUAUCCAGUAUUUAGCAAGAUAUUAAAUCCAACAUUUUGUCAUGUUAGAACAACCAAGCUGUGGCAGUAAGAAAACUUCCCCUAAAAAUAAAGGGGCAAACAAAAACUAAUAUACAUCCAAGAAACUAAGGAGGGAUAGGAAAAGUAAUUGUAGCAAUGAAGGCCAUCCCCCAUCAUGUAUUAUCUACCAUCAAUUAUUGCCCAAGAACACAUCUAAAUUCAACACGAACAAAUGUACAAUUUUUUUGUUUUCAAAUUCACAGUUUAACUACUAAUAUACUUGAUGAGGUUUGCAAGAUCAUCCAUUAAUUUGUUGGGUGCAAGUUCCCCGAGCUAGUAAGAAAUAGAGAUUCACAAGUAAAGAGCAGAAGGAUCACCUCUCGCCCUCUCUUUCGUUGUUGAAGAGUGUAAUGUUCCCACCCAAAGAUAGGUAAAGCUAAAGCUACUUAAUGGCAUCCCUAGCUUCAUCGAAAAGUAUUUAUAUUUCCACUUAGACCGUGGCAUAUGAAAAUGAAAACAUCUAUAAAUCAAGUGCAAUUUACCAUUGCCAGAAUAGCUGCUGGCAUCCAUCCAGCACCAGUGCCCUUUGCUUCGUACGGAAACAUUAACAUUAAUGAGAACAGAAUUACCAGAUAAAAAAGCGAUACACUCUGGCUACUGUGAGAAACUGAGAAUACAUGCUUCUGUGAAAUACAACCUUUGUCAAGAGGUAAGUAGCCCGGGAAGCAUUUGCUGAGAUAAUUGGAGCAGUAACACGCAAACGGUCUCCACCAACACUUGGAUGUUCAGAGCGUUUACCAACUUAGUAGACCGAUCAAAUAUUUCGGGCACAUUUUUCAGUAACAUACCACCAAAUGCUUCCAGCUGUCAAAGUCAACCCAGUAUACAUAGUGUCACACCGAUCACACGACCAAUGGGAUACUUAAAAUAGAAGCAGCAGAAGAUAAUUCAGCCAUGUAUUCUAACUGUGUUUCCGCUUUACAAAUAACCCGCACAUUAUUAAAUUAUUCAGCUGUCUAUGAGGCUCUUACCAUGUCCUAUCAUCAAACCAGUUCCAGAACUCGUAGAUUCCAUUCUUGACAGAAACUGCACAAGUAGGGGUAAUUCAGAACCAAUACAGUACAUAACUGCAUCAAGCCAGCUUUUUAAGUUCCUACUGUAAGCACUUGUGUGCUACAUACUUCCACUAAUCAUCCAUAGUAAGCGUGAACUACCAAUCACCCUCGUCACUGACCUUGGUGCAGAACCACACGGGGGCUGAAUCCUCUCCCGAUGUUGCGACCGUGUGGAAGGAGGGAGACAACCUCCGUCGCUCCACGCCCUUGAAGACAGGCAGAUCGGAAAACUUUGCGUUGCGAUCGCCAUCACCCAUGGCUCGCCGUCGAGUGGAACGCUCGCCAUCCUUCUGCCUACCCCUCUGCCUCGAGGUGGAUUUCGGCAGCCCCUCCAUCCCUAGCGGAUGAGAGAGAGUAGAGAUGAGAGCUGCAUGCCCGAUGGUGACACGUUUACAUAUUAAAUUCAGAAAACCAUGAUACUUUAGUACAACAAGUAGAUGCUAAAAAAUCUACCGUUAAAUAAAGUGGCUGGUGCUAUAAUUCUUUGCUAUGGUCCUACAAAAACUAUUAAGCUGGUCCAGAAAUUAUUAGUAUGACUAACAUACGGCAAAUUCAAAGUCCAAGCUGUCAAUCUUUUCAAGAAAACAAUAUGUGUUUGCUUCUUUAAUAAAAGAAAAGAAUCAGGAACUCUCACAAAAUAUUCUGCAAACAAUUAUAACUCAAGAAACAGAGAAACAUGGCCUGAAGCAGAUCAACAACAUAAAACUUGACAACCCGUAUCACUCCUAGGACUAAAUUAGGAGACCAAAAAACCCUUGCAGAAUUUACAUGCCAACAGAGAACAAAUUGAUGACCAAACAAGACUUAGUUCUGGAGUACUAAUAAGAAAGAUAGAUAAAUGGAUGAUGGUUAAGCGUCAUAGAUAACUUAGUAGAUAAAUGGAUGAUGGAUAACUCGUCAGGCCUAUGGAGCUAUCAUAGCAUGGAUAACUCGUCAGGCAUAACAUAGCUGCAACCAACACAAGAGAGGUGUUCUACAUAGAUAGAUACAUAGGUAGACAGAGAUAUGAAUCAAAUAGGGGAUCCCAUGCACUUACCUAGAAUUUGUCUUCAGAAGGUUUGUGCGUGGCUGCUGAAGGUUGCGGCUGAUGGGGCUAUCCACGGCUGCGACUACGGGGCAGGCGGAUGGGGUAGGGGGCAGCAGACGGAUGGAGCUCGGGGCGGUGGACGGCCGGAGCUCGCUGUCGGGGCCGGCGGAUGGAUGUCCAGCUGCUACUUGCGGCUCGGCGACUCAGAUCUUCGGCUUGGCAUCGCCGGAACCAACGAUCAGAAGCUGCGCCAGUCCCUUACUGCGCGGUCCCCAGAGACCUCGCCGGCGCACCCGACACCGCGGUGGCUGCCCGUGCCCGAGCCUCCAUGCCGGCGUCAUCGUGGCACGGACGGGAGGCCCUGCCCCGCGAGACGGAGGGAUCUGACGCUGCCACCGCUCGGGGACUCCCUCCCGUGUGCUCCCGAGAUCCAAAUCGAGAAAAUCAGGGGAUAUGAGGCUGGAGGAGGUGGAGCUCGGGACGGGAGAUGAAGAGGGCACGGGCACAGGCGGCGGCACGCAGUGUAUUUGCGGAGAAAGAGGCGGCGGCGGAGCAGCAGGGAAGAGGCGGGGGUUGGAGGAGAGGAAAGAAAAGAGAGACAGAGGGAUCACGUGUGUUGGAAACCUUCGUGGGGAAGGAAACGAGAGAUAUUUUCCUCUCCAGGCUCGAUCCCGAUUGGCCCCCCAAAUAGUGCGAGUGAUGAGGUGUCCGUCUC
rnacentral:lncRNA from 1 species